rnacentral:rRNA from 1 species
AUACAGGGCUACAUCUAGUCUUGUAAUUGGAAUGAGUACAAUUUACAUCUCUUAACGAUGAUCAAUUGGAGGGCAAGUCUGGUGCCAGCAGCCGCGGUAAUUCCAGCUCCAAUAGCGUAUAUUAAAGUUGUUGCAGUUAGAACGCUCGUAGUCGGAUUUCGGGGCAGUCCGACCGGUCUGCCGAUGGGUAUGCACUGGCCGGAGUGUCCUUUUUGCCGGAGACCGUGCCUACUCUUAACUGAGCGGGGGCGGGAGACGGCACUUUUACUUUGAAAAAAUCAGAGUGUUUCAAGCAGGCAGCUCGCUCUUGCAUGGAUUAGCAUGGGAUAAUGAAAUAGGACUUUGGUGCUAUUUUGUUGGUU